UGAAUCCCUCAGAGAACAGCAUUAUCUCAGCAAUCUGGUCAUAGUGAGGCACCAUCAUGGCCACCGGUCGGAACAAGGACUUCAAGUUAUCUGGUUCUGUCGACAUGAGGUUAGCGUUUCCAGGGUUCCUGUGGUGGUCGCUGCCUUUAAGGCAUUCCGGCGGUCCUCCACCCUCCUCAUGAUGUCCUUCCAAGACUUGUCUACUGCAGUGAACAACUUAGCAUCCCCAGGCAAAGUUCUGUAACAAAACAUAUCAUUUUGUAUAACAUCAAUUCAAAUUUAGGAUAUUGCUGUUUACUUCAGAUUAAUUCAAUUUCAGUCUUUUUCCUAAAAUGGUGUUAGGCGGAAUCUUAAAAAUCUUCAGCCUCCUCAUUCAGUAUGUACAAAAUGGGGUCAUUACCUCUGAAUGUCAGGGGCACCAAAAAUUGGCUCUAAGUAUAGAUACAUUCUCUGCACUGUUAACCAUUCAUCCAAAGUCCUGGAAAACACACCAAGCUUGCUCUCCCACUGGUCAACUUGUGUCUGAAGUAAAUAUUAGUGUGGAAAAGUUUAACACCAGAUGGGAAAAGGGGGAGGCAACCCCGUUAGUAUGCAAUUUUUUUUCUUGUUUUCAAAUGCAAACUUUAUCUAAUGACAUGAAGAAUCUGUCUUGCCUGAAUUGGAGCAAUGUAUCUGGAAGCUUUGAUGGUUCCUAUGGUAACUUGACUUUCCUCUAACUGAGCCAUGAUGUCAUCUGCUCCAGCAAUGAUGAAUGUGUCUCUGCCUUGGUGAGGAGAAAGAUGAAAGUCUGUGUUUUGCCACAAGUUGAUAAUCUGAAAAUGGAAAGAAAAAUUGGUGAAAGGAAGCUUUCAUCUGUGCAUAUUUUGAAUAUAAAAACACAAGCUCUUGUAGAUUUAUAAAUACCUUUUCCAGCAUGAUUUCCAAUGUUGCCUCAUUGCUAGCUUUGGUAGAGAUUUCUUGUAUCUUCUCUUUGUGUUUGAAAAUCUGAAUAAAAAAAACCAUCAAAUCAGCAAUCUCGAAAAUGAGAAAUGAAUACUAAAUAUAGGUGAUACAGCCAAAAGAGAUUUUUGUGUGGCCGGACUUUUCAAUGCUACGUGGAUUAACCAUGACUUACAUUAUAGGUGAUACAGCCAAAAGAGUUCUUUGUAUGGCCGGACUUUUCAAUGUUACAUGGAUUAACCAUGACUUACAUUAUAGGUGAUACAGCCAAAAGAGGUUGGUUUUUUUUUCGUGUGACCAGACUUUUCAAUGUUUUCAAUGUUACAUGGGUUAACUUACAUUCAUUUCCAGUAGGUUGGCCAAAGUGAAGUUCUUGUCUCUUGCUAUGGACUUCUGGAUCAGUCUCUCUAUCAACUGCCAAUGGCGAGCUUUCAGAGAUGGGUUCCUCAGAGAUGUAAUCACUGGCAUGCCAUGCUUGAACUCAGUCACUUUGGCCUUCAGAGUUGGUAGGACCUCAUUUGAUGCAACUCCACUUGUAAAGAAUCAAAUGGUGUGGCUGUCCAUUCCUCAUACAACUUGUCCCAUUCUUCCUGGGAUUGCCAUAGCAACUGUCUCAAGUCCUUGGAAACUGGGACCCAAUGUCUGAUACAGAGCCAAGUCUUCUGGUUCAAUCUUCACAGAGAAGUCCUUAGUAAUGGUGAACAGUUUGGUCACAAUCAGAAAUUCCUUGUCCAGUGCUGUGAUUUCAGACGUCAUCUUGGACAGGAAAGACAAAUGCUCUACAAACUCCUCCACAGAUUUUGGAUAGUCUUCCAGCUUCCUUGCAGCUCCCUGA